GACGAACGCUGGCGGCGUGCUUAACACAUGCAAGUCGAACGGAAAGGCCCUGCUUUUGUGGGGUGCUCGAGUGGCGAACGGGUGAGUAACACGUGAGUAACCUGCCCUUGACUUUGGGAUAACUUCAGGAAACUGGGGCUAAUACCGGAUAUGAGCUCCUGCUGCAUGGUGGGGGUUGGAAAGUUUCGGCGGUUGGGGAUGGACUCGCGGUUUAUCAGCUUGUUGGUGGGGUAGUGGCUUACCAAGGCUUUGACGGGUAGCCGGCCUGAGAGGGUGACCGGCCACAUUGGGACUGAGGUGGGGGCAGGACGGCUACGGGGGGCAGCAGUGGGAGAUAGUGCGCGAUGGGCGGAAGGCUGAUGCAGGAACGCCGCGUGGGGGAUGACGGCCUUCGGGUUGGAAACCGGGUUCGCCUGGGACGAAGAGUGAGUGACGGUAAUGGGUAAGGAAGCAACGGCUAACUACGUG
rnacentral:rRNA from 1 species